rnacentral:rRNA from 1 species
UACGAAGGGUGCAAGCGUUAGUCGGAAUUACUGGGCGUAAAGCGUGCGUAGGCGGUUUCUUAAGUCCGUUGUGAAGGCCCUGGGCUCAACCUGGGAACUGCAGUGGAUACUGAGAGGCUAGAGUGUGUCAGAGGAUGGUGGAAUUCCCGGUGUAGCGGUGAAAUGCGUAGAGAUCGGGAGGAACAUCAGUGGCGAAGGCGGCCAUCUGGGACAACACUGACGCUGAGGCACGAAAGCGUGGGGAGCAAACAGG